rnacentral:lncRNA from 1 species
AUGUUUUGUUUGGCAAGAACCAUUUCUUUGAACAAUUUCUUAUUAAUCAUCUAUAAUUUUUCACUUCUGACAGUGUUAUCACCAGUGCUUUCAGUAACUGCAUAUUUAUACAACAGCCAAACUUCAACCUGUAUUCAGUUUUUAUCUGUCUCCUGGGAAUGUAAUUUGGAAAAAAAGUUACCAAUGUAUUUACAACCAAAUUUCAGAUCUUCAACAUUACAGAAGGGUUUUGGAAGUCUGGAUUGCAGUGGGGCAUUUUAUGUUAAAAAAUCAUCUUCCCAUUCUGAUCUUUGCAAAAAUUUUUCUGUUCCUUAAACAGAGUAAGAGAUUGCAGAUUGCUUCUGUGGACUUAUUGAAGGUAAGUAUUAUCUCUUAAUAUUUGUAUCUCCAGUGUCUGGCACAUUGCUUGGUGGUGAGGAGGAACUCAAUAAAUGUUUGUUGGGUGAGUAAGUAAUAUUUGUGAAAGUGUUUUGUAGACUAUGAAACUGCACAAACGAAAGAUCACAAGGAUGAUUGCUUACAAAGCUCAGAAAUUGAAGUGGAACUCUUUUCUUAAUGUAAUACACACAUACACUUUACACAUUUUCUCUUUGAAGAGUGGCUGCAUUUUUUUUUUUAAAUGGAACACUGGGCUACUUUUAAACACUGAAAUCAAAAUGUACAUGCCCACUUUUUAUUAGUAGUUGCUCCAUUUGCUCUUCCAGCUUUGGCUCAAAAACAUCUAUUUGUAUACUUAGUAUCACUGUCCUUGGUUACCUCCAUCCCUUGCCUUCUCACCCAUCUUUAGUCUGCCAUAUGGUCUUGACAUAGAUUUUCAACUGUUAGACUGUCAGACUUUCAAGGAUGCAUUUUAAGAAAUCAGUUUCUUUGAAAGCACUUGAACCGGAAGUCAAAUGGCAUGAUGUAAACCAAUAGUUUUUCAAUGAAGAAAUGAAAACCCUUGAUAAUUACAAAUAAGGAAUCUAACCUAUUGACACCAAUUUGGUUGUACUGUAUUGAUUCCUGCAAAAAUAUUAUGAGAGAGUGGGCUACUUAUACUCUACUGAUCAGAUUACAAGUAUACUUAGUAAAGACAGAAGUAGUAUAGGCAUGAAAGAGUUUACCUUAAAAUGUCACCUGAUGUUAGUUGUCUCUCACUGAUUCUAGUAAUUUCCUUUAUUCAGGUGGAUCUGGCUGUUGGUGGAGAUCCCUAGACUGCGUGAGGCCAUGGGCAUGAUCUGGAGACACAGCAGGUGAGUCCAACAUGUCAAGGGCAGAUGACAAUGAACAGAAAAAGCUGGUCUUGCUACUUUCUCAGUAACAGUGACUAGCAGUGUGUAUGAGGAGAUCAAAAUUCUAAAGGUUCCCACAAAUUUCUCAGUUUCCUAUUUAGGGCUUCAGGUCUUUGCAGAUAAUCUUCCAGAUAUGGUCUUUGUCUGUUUUCCUUAUUUUUCUG